UACGUAGGGGGCUAGCGUUGUCCGGAAUCAUUGGGCGUAAAGCGCGUGUAGGCGGUCCGGUAAGUCUGCUGUGAAAGUCGGGGGCUCAACCCUCGAAUGCCGGUGGAUACUGUCGGGCUAGAGUGCGGAAGAGGCGAGUGGAAUUCCUGGUGUAGCGGUGAAAUGCGCAGAUAUCAGGAGGAACACCAGUGGCGAAGGCGACUACCUGGCCUGUUCUUGACACUGAGGCGCGAAAGCUAGGGGAGCAAACGGG
rnacentral:rRNA from 1 species